GCAAAGAGCGAACAUAAACUCAGAGAAGCAAAAAAGCAAAAGUAAUCGGAGGAAGAAGAAGACGACGAGGCAAGCAACCGCAGGAACACGAGAGAGAUGGAUCCGAAGUUCACAGAGAUCGCACAGCUCUUCGAGCGAUUCAAAGCUGCAUUCGUACGGAGCGAUUUCGAUACCUGCUCCAAUUUCCUCUCCCAGCUCAAGGUUAAGCUGACUGAAUUAGGAAGCCUACCGCCGUUGUUUCAAGACACACCUAAUGCUGUCAAGGAAUUAACAUUAGCUAGGGAUAUAUAUGAGCAUGCUGUUGUUCUUAGUGUUAAGAUUGAGGAUCAAGAUGCAUUUGAAAGGGAUUUCUUUCAGUUGAAGUCUUAUUACGUAGAUGCUCGAGAUCGUCUUCCACCAUCCCCUCAAGAGUACCCAAUUUUAGGUCUCAACCUGUUGAGACUCCUUGUCCAGAAUAGAAUUGCUGAGUUCCACACUGAACUGGAACUUCUUUCAUCUGCUGCUUUGGAGAACCCUUGCAUUAAGCAUGCUGUGGAGCUAGAGCAAUCUUUCAUGGAGGGGGCUUACAACCGUGUGUUGAGCGCUCGUCAGACAGUACCACACGAGACUUAUGUUUAUUUCAUGGAUCUCCUGGCUAAAACAGUCAGGGAUGAGUUAGCCGGAUGCAGCGAGAAGGCGUAUGAUUUUCUCUCUAUUAAGGAUGCCCGUCAAAUGUUGCUGUUUCCUUCUGACCGUGAACUUUUGGCAUAUGUCAGUGAGAGCCAGGUUGUCCCAUGUGUGAAGUCAAAUGACAACAUGCGCUUCACGUCAUCCCGUUGUGUUGUCCACGUGUUAGGCUUGAGAAUUGGCCACACGUGAGGUGGCGUGUUGACAAUGAAUCCCACAUCGAUGGUAGGAGGGACCUUGCAUGAGCUUAUAAGAUCAUCCUGAGUGGGAAGUGAAGAAUGAUGCGGUCUAUUUCCAGAAGGCAAAGGAGUCUGCACCUUGCAAAGAGAUACCUUCUUUACAACUCAUCAACCAAACUCUCAGCUACGCAAGAGAGUUGGAGCGGAUUGUCUAAAAGAGCUGCUACCGCAUUCUGGUUGUUUGUUUUGUGAUUCACAACUGUUGCUCAAACUGUCACUUCCAAAAUUUCUUCUCAAUUUUAGAACCGAGCCCAAAACUGUGUGUACUAUUGUAUUUUAGUUUGACCACUUUGGGUGGCAAUAUUUUUCAGAUUUUAUGUUCUUGCAAUUUCAUUAAUCAGAAAGGUUGCUUUACCUUUA